UAUCGACAUACAGCUGUUGAUCGUAUGUUUACGACAAAAUGUGGCAGCAGUUAUUGGGAAUUAGACAGGAAUAUUUAUGUUUAGGAAAGGUCGUGAGUUUGAGCCCUGCUCGUGCCACGUAACUAGUGAUUGCUCCUUUGGUCAAGAAGUGAGAAUCUUCCAUGUCAGCAUAUUUUUUUUUAAGGCACACUAUGCAUCUCAAGGUCGCGAGUGUUUUCUCCCAGGUUUCGCCGGAUUCACCACACGCGUUUUUCCGUAGAAUUGUUUAAAUUCACUGAUAUAUUUACAAAUAAAAUAAAAAUAUGUUGCAUGAAACGCAUUUAUAUAUAAAUUUUAUUGUGGUUAUCUAUAUGUAUUUCUCUAUGUCAUGUUGAUUGACUUGUGAGAAUAAAUGAAUUGAAUUGAAUUGGAUAUGACCUUAAAAACGGAGGUCCGGUGUCGCGGCAGGCAUUGUCACCUACGGCCCUGAGAGCUAGAUAUAGGUCUAAACCUACAUUAUAUAUGUCUUUAUUUUAUUUUAUUUUUUUAAAUAAAUUUUUACGUGCCAGUAAUAUUCUUUUCUUUUUGUAUGCAAUUAAAAUAAUUAGAUGAAGUUAAAUAUAUCAGAUUACUCUCAAUUUGAUGCAUGUCAAUGGUAGUAUGUCAUGGUAAUAUAUACAGAACGAUUUUAGAAAAUUAAUUUGUUGUUUUGUAAAAUUUCAUUUUUUUUUUUUAUAUAUAUUUUUUUUAAAUUGCUGAUUGCACAUUCAUUAAAAUGAUUGGGACUUUUAAAAAGUGGAUACGGGGGAAUUUGUCCAACUUCUCUGUGUCUGAUAUUCUAACAUAUAUAUUCAUGUUCAGGAAUUUAAUUUAAUUUUAAACAUUUCAAGACACGAGGCGGCGUCAUUUAAUUUAGAUCGGGAUCAGAAUUCCGAUGUGUUUAUGUUACACGAUGGUAGUAACGUACGUAUGCACUCCGAUACUGGUACAUGCACCUGUACAGGGCUGUUACGAAAGGUAUGCUUAACUCUGUGUGAAUGUAUAACUGUAAUAUAUAGGUUUCGUCAAACCAUAUCAUCUUCUUUGUUUUAAAGGGAACUAGAAUAAGUCCCAUGGCUUUGAUUUUAGAUUUUACGGCAGUAUCGAAUAGCGUGGUUUUCAAAGCUAAAAGGCGUAGUGGCUAUAUACUGUAUAUAGGCUAACUGUGUUGUUUAUGUCUUUAGUAAACUUACUAGCAUUCAUUUAAAUCUUCACUGAAUGCACCGAACCAGAAUAUUAGGUUAAAUUAAGAGGAAUGAAGCGGUGAUCAGGUGAUGACAGUUUAACAUAUCGUGACCUAUCUAGGCGUCAUCAUCAUGCAAGUGCUAUUAUUAUUAAACAGUUAAACAUACCGGCACGGUGGCACCUGAUAUCAAUAUGAAAUUGUCAAAUAUCUUUUCAAUGAGUUGAAGAAAAUGAAUUUCAUUUUUUAAUCUAUAAAUUCACAUAUUUUCCAUUAAUGUGUUUUCACGAUCUACCCAUAUCCUGUUUAAUAUCGGAACCCAUGAAUGCUUGUCUGCUGGUAAAUAAGCAAGAUGAUCACGUUGAUAUAGCAUAGAUUAUAAUGUGAGGUAUGUAGACAACAGUCUAUGGCUUUUUUUAAACACACACACGUCAUAUAUAGGCCUAUGUAUGUAUGAUUGAUUGUAUAUUGUAUACACUUUCAAUAUAAACCCACUACACCAGCAUUCAUUGUGGGUGAGUUUGUGAGGCCUUGGCAUUGAUAGGUAGGUAAUCUGGAAAUUGUUUAUGUUUUGAGUAAUAAGUCUAAUUUUUUAAUCAAUUUGUUAGAAUUUUCCUGAAUGAAGUGAAAUCAAAUAAAGUCCAUGAAGGUAUUAUACCAAUCAAUGGUAAUAAUUUUACACAAAGAUUUCAAGUAGAAGGAUGUGGAUACAAUUAUGAAAUAUGCCGUUACACAUGGACAGCAUUUAAUUUACAUUAAUCUCAAAAUAACCACAAUUUAAAUACAGGUAUUGUUUAUAUAUCCACUGUUUUUGUUUGUUUUCUUUCUUUUUUUCUCUCAUGAAUUUUAACAUUAAAAUAAGCUUUAAAAUUUGUUCAUAUGCAUUUUCAUGUUCAUAAAAUUUCUAUAAAAACUAGUAUUUCAUAUUUGUUAUUAUAUAGUCAACAUUUGUAAAUUAAUUGCAGUCUUUCACACCUACAUGAAGCACAAUCGUAUAAUCCAGUAACUUCUGAAUGGGAAACAAAUACCCAGUGUUUGGUAUAGUUCACCUCAUAUACUGGUAAAUCUGAAGAAGUCCAACAUUUUCAAGGUAAAUUAAAGGUAACGUACGUGAUAUCUGUCAUGUAUGGGUCGAUAACAUAGGACGAAUAGAUUAACCCCACAUUUUACACCCAAUCAGGAACAGAUUUGCUAUUGUUUGAAUAUGAAAGCCUGAGGCCAGUCACUUUCAGUGCUCUGUCAGUUUAUGAACAUACCCAGGUAUAGGUGGGAGGCGUUGGUAGAAGUUUUUCCUUGAGUCAGUUGACUUAAUUUGAGAAAAUCAUGGGAAGCUUUGCAGGCCAUGCUCUUCCAGGAUCAUUCUUUAUCAUUAUGUCCUUGUGGUGGAUUUUGUCGGUUUUCAAUGUACAUUUCAAAUCUCUGAAACGAAAUACCCGAUUCAGAUCCUCAGUGACUUUUCCGUUUCUCUGCCUCCCAGGAAGACUAAAAGAAUGGCCUAUGGAGGCUAUGCUGAAACUUUUUAUGGCCUCUGUUGGAUUUUCACUGGAAAUUUACACCGGAACAAGUGAUGGGAAAUUUACAGCCCUUGGUAAUGGCCAGCAUGCCACAAUGUUUUUCUUUUUCGGUAUGACUGCAGUGAUAGACUUACUAUUGUAUUUCGAAGUGCCAUUACCUAAAGAUUUGGAUUAUGUAUCAAAUAUCAUUGCCAUUGGAAUUGAGGGGCUUCUCUUUAAAUUUCAUCUUCAUGGGCGAACAGAAUUAGAUGUGUUGUUACAUACACUUCUGAUUUACACUAUUGUCUUAAAUGUAGUCGGAACAAUUCUAGAGAUGAAGUAUCGUAACAAUAUUUUAUGUGCUCUUGCCCGGUGCUAUGGAUUUCUGCUCCAGGGAACUUGGUUUUGGCAAGUCGGAUUCAUCCUCUACAAUCCAAAUCCGAACCACACCCCAUGGAAGCAGGAGAACCAUGAUGAUUUAAUGAUUGCAACCAUGUUCUAUGCAUGGCAUGUUGCUGCCGAUUUUCUUCUCAUUUUGUGUAUCGGUGGAGUGAUGGGCUGUGUUCAUCGUAAGUGUGCAAGAUAUGAUGGAGAGGAUAAAUUUGCCAUGAAAAGACUGAUUCAUACUGGGACUAAUGGUCAGACCUUGAUCUCAAUGCAUGAUGAUAGUGAAAGUGAUAUAGAAUUCCAAAAGCCAGCUUCCAGAUAACCCAUCCCUGUAUUCAUGUGUACCCUCUCAUGCACACAUGCUCUUUUCAGUGUUAUACAUUGGGACCCCUGCAAUUGUAUGCUCAUUCUGUGUUGUUAACCAUGAAUGCUAGUUUUGAUGUUAUAGAGUAUAUAUUAUAUACAAUUAUUUGCAUAUCAUUUAGAUGUUAAACAAGAGAUAUUCUUGAUCUCCACUACAUAAAAAUUCAGUGGGUCGAUAUAUGAAGAGCCAGUGUAUGAAUAGUCAUUUUAAUGCAGCAUAUUUAGUUUCCUUUUCUUUUUUUUUCUUGCAUGUGGGUUUUUUUUUUAGCUUGUGUUUUCACACUCAGAUUGUAUAUUGUGUCCCAUGUCUUUGAAAUCCUUUUUUCCUAUACCUGUAUAGGAUAAAAUAUUCUUUAGAUUUGUAUUUUUACAUAUAUUUACAUGUAUAUUAUAGAACACUUUGCAAUUCAACCUAUUUGAAGGUCUUUAAGAAGAUGUGAUCCUGGCUUUUCAGAGGAGUUUUGUGAGCAACCAAGAAACAAAAUUUUAAGCUUGUUAAGAGCAUGCAUGUACUGAGGACUCUCACACAUUUUCGUAUUAUCAAAUAUUGCCAUCUGUCCCUCACAGAUUUUUUACUAUACCAAAGUCUUAUUUACGUAUAUGAUUAACAUGUUAUUUUCUUUUUAAUAUUCUAAGGUUUAAGUCAUAUUUUUCAUUAAAUUUUACAUGAUCAGCAGAGCUGGAAAUUGACUUUUUUCAUGAGCUAAUAUUUUUUUUUUUUUUUUUUUGGUAUCAGUUUCUGCCAAGUAAAUACAUUUCUAGAGAAAUCAUCAACUGUACGUACAUUAAAUUGAUUCUUGGAUUUAAUUUGAUGUAUGGCAAAGACCAACAGUAGUGUCGAGUCAGAUUAGCCUAUCUCACUUCAAACAAUAUUUCAAAGGCUUUCACACAAACAAGAAAAGUAAGGGUGGCUUUUCGGAGAAUUGGACCUGAAAGUUUAUAGAGCAAACAGAAGUUUGUGCCCCAAGGUUAUUUUUCAUCUAACAUUAUUUCAUUUUAAAUCUGAUUGGUAAACAAUUCAAAAGUUACAAUAGCAUUUAUUUACAUCAUAAUGGUGUGUUAUUGUGAACAUUUUCUUCAGUUUUAAAUGGUUUUAAUCUAUUGAAAAAUCAGAAAUCCAGUAUUUAAAAAAUUACAUUUUCAGCAUUUAUUGUGUUUACCUGAACAUGGCAAGGUGGGGUAACAGCAUUAUAAGCCCAUAUCCCUCUGUUGAGAUGACUCUAUAAUACAAGACAUGUAUCAAGAUACUAGAUAAUGUCUAUUAAAAUUACGUAUGGACACAAUUUAGAUUCAGAAUUUCCCAAUAUUUCUCUUGUAAAGGACAGACAGGAGUGUUUUUUCAUUCCGUUGAAUUGAAAUUUGAUGAAUAAUCUAUCAAAACCAGAAAUUUGUUAAAAUCUAGCACAAUUGUCUAACAUUUCCUUUUUUUCAUAUUUAUGGGCUUCAUCUCGAAUUUUGAUUUUUCCUAAUUAUUAUAUUUGUCAGCUUUAUGUGAUGUUAUUCCAUCCUUUCAUCAUGUCCUUUAUGAAAACUUUCAGAGCCUGGAGUGUCGCUUGUUUCGAUGCUGUAAAAGAUAAAAGAUAAAAGAAAGAAAUGAAUUCAAAAGUGCAUAAAACUUAAACAUUACAUUAACAUGAUCAAUCAAUUCCUGUUAGACACUGGUAGCACCAUGCACCUAUGACAGCGUAAGAUCCAAGAUUGUUUUUUGUUUUUCAAUAUUGUAGUGUCAAGUAAAUUCCCUGAGGUCAAAAAAGCAAUACAGCUUGAUUUUGAUUUAUGAUAUUUAAAUGUACAUACAGUUUUGGCCAAAAGUUUACCUCUCAGAGACUGAAUUAAUUAUCAUAAUAGUACAGAUCACAUACAUGUACCUUUGUAAGUCUUAAACGUACAUUUACAAAAUGUGUCCCAUUUCAAUUUUGUUAUAAAAUUAAAAUUCACAAAUUGUGGUCAUUCUGAUAUAAGUACACAGUAGUAAGAACUCUUCAUGGCUUAUGAAAUACAAAAGUUGGUUUAGAAUGGUGAAACCUCAAUAGCUUUUAUAAACAGGAAUGUUUUCUUUUAUUUAGUUUAUUAAGUAUAUAUUGCUAUUUUACUAUUAUUGACAUGCUAUAUUUGUUUUAUGCAAAAUUUAUAUCAAGCAAAAUAGCAUGAACUUAGAAAAUAUUGGAAAUCAAAAAUAAAAGAUCCAUACUUGCCAAUGAUCCCUUAAUAAGGAUUUGGGUAGGGGUUAUGUUCUAUUUUACAUAAUAACUCUGUGCUCAAUAUUUGUAAAUGUGAUGCCCGGUAUUUUUAGGUUCAACAUUUUUAGGUCACCUGAGUCAAUCAGGUGACUAUUGCAAAUGGUCUGUGGUCGUCCGUCGUGUGUUAACAAUAGAACAUUUUAAAAAUGUUGGUGUGAAGCAUCUUUUAGACAAGAGGGAUACAAAUUUUAAAUCUCAGGACUUCUACACUUUGAAGGUGGGGGGGGGGGGGUAUCUCUCAAAUGCCAACAAUUUGAACAAUUUUCAAAAAAUCUUAUUCUAACCACACAUAUGUGAGGAAAAGUAAAUGCAUUGCCAUGUAGAGCAGGAAUGCCAAAAUUGUAAACUUUAUUCCAGGGUAGAGGUUUUGACUCCAAGGUUGGGCCAAACUUGGUAUAUCUUGUUUAUGUGUAAAACAUUUAAAUAACGUCUUUUUUAAUGCUAUUGAUACUAAAUUGAAACUUUAUAGGGACAGUUAGUUCUUUACCAAAAUUGCGAAUUUUAUGAUCCAAGUGAUAGGGGUUUUGGUACCAGGGUGGGGCCAAAAUGGUCUUGAUAAUUACAUGUGUCUGUCAACAAUUAAAAAUUUUCAACUUCUUUUUGAUAACUACUGUUCUUUUCAAAUUUGGUGUGAGAAACAUAGAGAAGGGAGACAUAAAUUGUAAAUUUCAGGACUUAGGGAAAAACUGCCAAAAAUUGACCAAUUUUGUAAAGCCUUUUUCUCUAUACAACGUACCACACUUGUUUAUGAAAACCUAAAUGCAUAGUCAUGUAGAGCAGGAAUGCCUACACCAAAAUUGUAAAUUUCAUGAUUCUUGCAUGGGGUAAAGGUUUUGACUACAGGGCAGGGCCAAUUUGGUAUACAAUGUUUAUGUGUAAAACUUUUGAUGCUAAGUUGAAACUAAAUGGAUAUUAUGAUAAAUAGAAAGACCAGGUAUCCCUCUACCAAAAUCAUAGAUUUCAUGUUCCCAGGGUAACCAUUAGGGUUUUGGUUCCAGGAUGGGGCAGUAGUGAUUCUUGUGUCUUUAUCAUUUGAAAGACUUUAGAAUUGUUCUUUAAUUUUGCUGAUACAUGUACUGUAUAAAAAGUAAAGGCAUAUUGAUUUAGGAAAAGCAAAAAGGGAUGUACCAAAAUUGUGAAUUUCACAACCCCUAGGUUCUGACUUUAGAGCAGGUCCAAAAUAGUCAUAUAGUGUUUUAAGGUGGGUCCUUAGUCCUGGAUUUUUGGGGUUUAGGUAGCAUUUUUUUGUUUGGAAUCAAUAAAUUAACAUUCAGAGUAAUGAAAAAAGGCAAAACAGUUAAGGGUUUCCAUAUUAAUUUUCAUUACAAACACCACUAAAGUCAUAUACCCCGAUGUAGAUUUUUAUGAAAUUCAUUGGACACAGUUAUUUGUUGUUAUUUUAAUAUAAAAACAACAAAAUAUUUUUUGAAUAGCAUUUAUUUAUCGGGAAACAUGUCAAUAACUAAAACACAUGUCAUUUUCAAUAUGUUCAUCAAGUUUUAGAAUAAUAUGUGCAAAAUUAUUGAAUUAGCGUUAUUCCCCAAAAUUUUAAAAAACAAACAAAUGUGGAUGCAUUUUCCUUAUAGCAUGGUUUACAUAUCGUAGAGUUACAUCUGUUAUAGUUAUUCAUGGGAAAAAAUCCAUACCUUUCCUUAAUAAUUUCAAAUCUAUAGCUUCCAGAUUAUGUAUACCCCCAUCAAAAACUGAAGUCUGGCACCAUACAGCUGAGCUAUUUAAAAUCACUCGGGAUUAAAAUUUUAUGUAAUUUCAUGAAAAGACACAGAUAAUGAUUCCUUAUCACCUUGGUAAAAUGUUUGUCAAAAAUAAAGGAAAUCUAUCGCAUUAUGGACUUGAUAAAUAAUUGAAUGAAAACAGAAUUAUUGUCCUUGGAUUCAAUAUUUUGAAACAUAUCAUUGACUAUUCAAAUAUAACUAAGAAUUUUGAAAUAUUUUAUGGCAAGUAUUUCAACAGUAUGAGCUCUUUUGGGGGCAUUUGUGUUUUUUAAAAGAACACAUCAUCUUAUUUUAAACUGCUGCUGAUUGAUCAGAAAUUAGCUUGGGUUUGCAGAACAAAUUAUUGAAAAAAAAAUUAUUACACAUUUCAUAGUCUAUGGUUCUAGUGAUACUUUUAACUAAUACUCAGGUGACCUGAUAAUGUCUUAGGCAUUCAUCUUAAGCCACGGAGGAUUGUCCUCAUUUAAUAAAAAAAAAAUUGUAAACAAUACUAUUUGUUAUAAUAUACAUGUAGUAUUCUUGACAAUUUUUUGAGGAAUAAGUCCCAGUGGUUCAGCUAGUUGGUCCCAUUUCACUAUGGUGUCGCAUUGAAAGCAACAGUCAGGAACAGAUUAACCCAAGAACAGUUUGUACCUCAUUAUAGUCCUCAAUAACUAGUAGAUUAUGUAUAUAUGCAUAGGUCCUGUAGUACGAGUAUUGUUGAUAAUGCCUGGUUUUAUAUUUCCUUGAUUUGUGGUCUUGGAAUAGUUUCUUAUUUGUUUUAGUAGUAGCUGGAGAAUCAGACCGUAAUGACAUGUAGAAUCUGCAUUAAUUAAUACAUGGAUUUAUCACUUGCUACAAAAUAUGUAUAAGAGUAGAGGUUUACAAGAAUUUUCUGCAGAUGUAAAAAGAGCACUGCGACAUGCUACAUGUACUUAAACCAUGAUUCAUCAUAUAGUGCUAUUGAAAAGAUUCGUUAUUGUUUUCAUGUAAACAAUAGGAAAGUCACUCUAAUGAUUUCUGUUCAUUUUCUCACUCAUUUUACUACAUUUUGAUGAUGAUUUGCUUUGAAUUUCAAAACCUUUGAUAUUCAGCUUUAUCAUUUCAUCAAUCAAUGUCUUCAGAAUAUGCAUAGUUUAACAAUUAUCCUAUCUUUAUAUAUUACUCAUGUUAAAAGAUAGGGGGGGGGGGGAUUCGAGAUUUGAAAAAUGAAGAUUUUUAUAUACAGAACAAAUUUAUAUUUAAUAAAUCUAAUACAAAAGGUCAGAUGUCAUCAGUUGUUUUGUAAACAUGUUAAGUUGCAUUAAUUAGUAGCAUAUACUACAUGUAGCACAAUGGAAGUAAGGCUCGUAUAGGCUCAUGUACAAGUAUGUAUUUAUAAUGUGUUGUGUAAAUCCUCCGAAACUUCAAUAUGUAUUUUAUUUUUAUACGCAUAAUAUAUUGUAUAUCAAGUAUGUAUUGUUUGUUUCUGUUGUUUGGUUGUUGUUUUUUUUUGGGGGGGGGGGUCUUUCUUUUUUUUUCCUUUUUUUUUUUUUAAAGAUUUAUAAAUAUAAUACUGGCCAAAUAUAUUUGAAAUAAAGAUAGAAAUGAAAGGUGUGUGCACCAUUCAUUAGCACUAGCAUAGAAGUGUUCCCAUCAAUUUGAGAAACUUUUGUCAAUUGUAUUUUGAAUUUCAUCUUGUAAGAUAGUGAAAUGGAAUGCCAUACAUAUUUACUAACAGUGAACAUAAAAAUGGCUGGUGCACAAAUACUGAACAUCAGAACCAAGUGUUCAGCUAGACCGGUAAUCUCGUAGAGUACAUGUACAACUUUGUAAAAAUUGAGUAUGUAACAGUGCUUAAUUUUGUAUGGUCAGUAACAUUAAAAGUUAGAAAUACAGGGAUAAACAUGGUUGUUUAGUCACAAUACUUGAUUAAUUAAUAAUUUACAUGCAGGAUGUACAUCUAGUGAUUACUCAAUGAUCGUGUAACACUUAGAUGUAUUAUAUUUGUAGAGAUGUGAUUAGUUUAGUGGGUUUUUUUUUUCUUUUUAAGUUAUUUUCUGCAUAUAGAUUUCUUGUUUAUGCUGUUUAAUUAAACUUUUGAAAAAUGCA